rnacentral:snRNA from 1 species
AUCGCUUCUCGGCCUUUUGGCUAAGAUCAAAGUGUAGUAUCUGUUCUUUACGGCUUAAUCUCCGUAACGACCCCUACCGGGGUCAAAAGAGNAAUAAAGAUAAAUAUUGGUUGAUUCUAUUUAAAACAACUUAGGGACCCGGAGCAGAGAUCCCGACCUUACCAUUUUUGGGUGAUUUUCGGUAUUGGGUUCGGCAUUUAGCCGGGAUUCCGAUCCUGAAA